GAGAGGGGGAAGGGGAAAACUAAGGCGAAAGGCAAAGGGAGGCUAAGGUCUACUCCUAUACUGCUGAUGCUGAGUUGUGCUGCUGGGGUGCUGCACCAGGGCUGCCUGCCUGCCUGACCAAACACUGCUACCGCUCUCGCGCUCUCUCUGCUUCUCUCUGCUCCAUUUCAUGGCCUACGAUCCAUUCCCAUAAUUGGAUCCGUGUCUCUGCUUCUCGCGCUGCUUCUGUAGCCCACCAUGCAUCCAGCCUGCUGUUCUCGUUUCGUUUCUGCUGGGAUGUGACCAGAUUGCUUAGCUCAACCUGGAAUUUGACAAUUUCCCCCUUUCUACCCCCCACCCCCCUCGGCUUGUGCGGAGCGUUGCGGAUGCGGAGGAGACCUGGAUUUCUCUUCCCCGGUGUCAAUUGGCUUGUGGGCGGAGAAGCGGCGAUUCUGGAGAUGACGCAAAGCAAAGAAUGUUGAUUUUGUGAGGAAGUGGUGAGAUCGGUGCGGAGAUGACGGGUGGAGGAAUUUAGAAUCUGGAAGAGUUUUCACUGAGCAAGGAUGGGUUUUAGACACUGUCUCAGAACCAGGUCCUUGUCGGUUGUGUAUGUGGUUUGAAGUGCUGAAGGGAAUCGUGUGCCUAGCGGGCUGCCUGCUUUCCUGCAUAAGUUAGUUUAUAGAGAUCUUGGUUUGGCAAAGGAAUAGGAGUAGGAGAAAUAUGUCUAAUCAUGGGAGCGGUUCCUCAACAAAGCCUUGGCGUCCCCCUCGAGGCAACAUGGCUACGUAUCCAUCGGUGGGGCGGUUUGAAAAUAAGCCACAACCCACUCUAUAUGUCAAAGGCUCCUCGCCCAAGCUCGAGGCUAAUAGUGCAAAGAUCAGUAUGGCUCCACACAGCAAUCAUGGGCAGCUCACUCAACAUCCCUCUUCGGGCAUUGUAGAUCUAAGAACAGCUCCAGCUACUGCGGGUAAGACUUGUGGCUCGAAUAAUUUAGAACGUAGCUUGUGGAGGACGUGAGACAAUUGGUCAUUACCAUCAGGCAGCAAGUGUGUCAAAUAAUUUAACUUAUAUUGUAUUCAUAUCAGGAUUAGCCUAAGUGUAUUUGGGCUAGCUACAUCUACAUGGUGUGCAGGAGAAUGUUGAUCUACGAAACCGUCGGAAUCCAAUCAUGUGAACGAUGUGUAAUCUUCAACGACAUUCUCGGUUGUUCGGGGGGUUCCUGAGGAAACCCCUCUGAGGUUAGAGUCAAGACCAACUUGUUGGACAUCUUUGCACAGGUCUUCAAUCUCUUAUGGAACAUGGUCUUGUCUUUUGUUGGUGUAGCUAUUCCUGCAUUCUAACACAAAAACAUCAAAUUCUAAGAGAUUGCAGGCUGUUUUGGUGCUCCCUUCGGUUAAAUUGUUGGGUUUGCUCUCAAUGCAGUUGAAGAUGCAGCUGGAGUCUCUGUCAAGUGGCAGCCGUAUUCAUGUUCCUUGUUAAGUACAAUAGGACAAACUGAUUACUAGCUACGUUGCUGAACAGAUGUCUGUCAGAUCUAUGCAUUCCAUGUUAUCUUUUACUAUAUCGUUGGUCUCCUUAUUUAUUUGUACUGUUUAUGCCUCUUCAUUUAUGUGUUGGUAUGCACGCUACCAUCAAAGCUAUCCUUGUAUUCGAAUAAGAUGUAAUAUAUGAGUAUUUACUAUAAAA